rnacentral:tRNA from 1 species
GGCCCUGGGGCGCAACGGUAGCGCAUCUGACUCCAAAUUAGAAGGUUUCCCUUUCUGAUCGGCCGGGGUCA